rnacentral:lncRNA from 1 species
UGAAUUAAGUUAGCGUUGGAACUAAAUCCCUAGUUACUACUGUUCAUGCAAUUUUACUAAGGAGAAUUUAAUUCUUCAAUCUAAUUUAAGUUAUAGAUCAAUCUACUGAAUAUAUUAGCAUGAAUAAGAUGAUUUAUAAUUUGGAAUUCGGUAUGGCAUGAGAAUGACAGCAGUAAGCUUCAAUCCAAGGUAUUUUAUAUAUAUAUAUAUAUAUAU